rnacentral:rRNA from 1 species
GGGUUGUGAGGUUAAGCGACUAAGCGUACACGGUGGAUGCCCUGGCAGUCAGAGGCGAUGAAGGGCGUGCUAAUCUGCGAUAAGCGCCGGUAAGGUGAUAUGAACCGUUAUAACCGGCGAUACCCGAAUGGGGAAACCCAGUGUGACUCGUCACACUAUCAUUAACUGAAUCCAUAGGUUAAUGAGGCGAACCGGGGGAACUGAAACAUCUAAGUACCCCGAGGAAAAGAAAUCAACCGAGAUUCCCCCAGUAGCGGCGAGCGAACGGGGAGGAGCCCAGAGCCUGAAUCAGCAUGUGUGUUAGUGGAAGCGUCUGGAAAGACGCGCGAUACAGGGUGACAGCCCCGUACACAAAAGCGCAUGUGCUGUGAGCUCGAUGAGUAGGGCGGGACACGUGGUAUCCUGUCUGAAUAUGGGGGGACCAUCCUCCAAGGCUAAAUACUCCUGACUGACCGAUAGUGAACCAGUACCGUGAGGGAAAGGCGAAAAGAACCCCGGCGAGGGGAGUGAAAAAGAACCUGAAACCGUGUACGUACAAGCAGUGGGAGCACCCUUUGGGGUGUGACUGCGUACCUUUUGUAUAAUGGGUCAGCGACUUAUAUUCUGUAGCAAGGUUAACCGUAUAGGGGAGCCGUAGGGAAACCGAGUCUUAACCGGGCGUUAAGUUGCAGGGUAUAGACCCGAAACCCGGUGAUCUAGCCAUGGGCAGGUUGAAGGUUGGGUAACACUAACUGGAGGACCGAACCGACUAAUGUUGAAAAAUUAGCGGAUGACCUGUGGCUGGGGGUGAAAGGCCAAUCAAACCGGGAGAUAGCUGGUUCUCCCCGAAAGCUAUUUAGGUAGCGCCUCGUGAAUUCAUCUCCGGGGGUAGAGCACUGUUUCGGCUAGGGGGCCAUCCCGGCUUACCAACCCGAUGCAAACUGCGAAUACCGGAGAAUGUUAUCACGGGAGACACACGGCGGGUGCUAACGUCCGUCGUGAAGAGGGAAACAACCCAGACCGCCAGCUAAGGUCCCAAAGUCAUGGUUAAGUGGGAAACGAUGUGGGAAGGCCCAGACAGCCAGGAUGUUGGCUUAGAAGCAGCCAUCAUUUAAAGAAAGCGUAAUAGCUCACUGGUCGAGUCGGCCUGCGCGGAAGAUGUAACGGGGCUAAACCAUGCACCGAAGCUGCGGCAGCGAACGUAUCACUUAAAGCGAUUCAGCGGGUUACGAUUGACGGAGCGAAGCGACGUCAAAGCGUAUACAAAGUCGAGUCGGUUUAAGGAUACGUUCGUUGGGUAGGGGAGCGUUCUGUAAGCCUGCGAAGGUGGCCUGUGAGGGUUGCUGGAGGUAUCAGAAGUGCGAAUGCUGACAUAAGUAACGAUAAAGCGGGUGAAAAGCCCGCUCGCCGGAAGACCAAGGGUUCCUGUCCAACGUUAAUCGGGGCAGGGUGAGUCGACCCCUAAGGCGAGGCCGAAAGGCGUAGUCGAUGGGAAACGGGUUAAUAUUCCCGUACUUGGUGUUACUGCGAAGGGGGGACGGAGAAGGCUAUGUUGGCCGGGCGACGGUUGUCCCGGUUUAAGCGUGUAGGUGUGUGUUCCAGGUAAAUCCGGUUCACUUUAACACUGAGGCGUGAUGACGAGGCACUACGGUGCUGAAGCAACAAAUGCCCUGCUUCCAGGAAAAGCCUCUAAGCAUCAGGUAACAUCAAAUCGUACCCCAAACCGACACAGGUGGUCAGGUAGAGAAUACCAAGGCGCUUGAGAGAACUCGGGUGAAGGAACUAGGCAAAAUGGUGCCGUAACUUCGGGAGAAGGCACGCUGACACGUAGGUGAAGUGAUUUACUCAUGGAGCUGAAGUCAGUCGAAGAUACCAGCUGGCUGCAACUGUUUAUUAAAAACACAGCACUGUGCAAACACGAAAGUGGACGUAUACGGUGUGACGCCUGCCCGGUGCCGGAAGGUUAAUUGAUGGGGUCAGCGCAAGCGAAGCUCCUGAUCGAAGCCCCGGUAAACGGCGGCCGUAACUAUAACGGUCCUAAGGUAGCGAAAUUCCUUGUCGGGUAAGUUCCGACCUGCACGAAUGGCGUAAUGAUGGCCAGGCUGUCUCCACCCGAGACUCAGUGAAAUUGAACUCGCUGUGAAGAUGCAGUGUACCCGCGGCAAGACGGAAAGACCCCGUGAACCUUUACUAUAGCUUGACACUGAACAUUGAGCCUUGAUGUGUAGGAUAGGUGGGAGGCUUUGAAGCGUGGACGCCAGUCUGCGUGGAGCCGACCUUGAAAUACCACCCUUUAAUGUUUGAUGUUCUAACGUGGACCCGUAAUCCGGGUUGCGGACAGUGUCUGGUGGGUAGUUUGACUGGGGCGGUCUCCUCCUAAAGAGUAACGGAGGAGCACGAAGGUUGGCUAAUCCUGGUCGGACAUCAGGAGGUUAGUGCAAUGGCAUAAGCCAGCUUGACUGCGAGCGUGACGGCGCGAGCAGGUGCGAAAGCAGGUCAUAGUGAUCCGGUGGUUCUGAAUGGAAGGGCCAUCGCUCAACGGAUAAAAGGUACUCCGGGGAUAACAGGCUGAUACCGCCCAAGAGUUCAUAUCGACGGCGGUGUUUGGCACCUCGAUGUCGGCUCAUCACAUCCUGGGGCUGAAGUAGGUCCCAAGGGUAUGGCUGUUCGCCAUUUAAAGUGGUACGCGAGCUGGGUUUAGAACGUCGUGAGACAGUUCGGUCCCUAUCUGCCGUGGGCGCUGGAGAACUGAGGGGGGCUGCUCCUAGUACGAGAGGACCGGAGUGGACGCAUCACUGGUGUUCGGGUUGUCAUGCCAAUGGCACUGCCCGGUAGCUAAAUGCGGAAGAGAUAAGUGCUGAAAGCAUCUAAGCACGAAACUUGCCCCGAGAUGAGUUCUCCCUGAGACUUAGAGUCUCCUGAAGGAACGUUGAAGACGACGACGUUGAUAGGCCGGGUGUGUAAGCGCAGCGAUGCGUUGAGCUAACCGGUACUAAUGAACCGUGAGGCUUAACCUUACAACGCCGAAG